rnacentral:tRNA from 2 species
CAAGACGUAGCUUUAACAAAAGCAUUCAGCUUACACCUGAAAGAUAUCUGCUAACAUCAGAUCGUCUUGA